GGGCGUGAAAGCCCCGUGCUCAACGCGGGGAGUCCGCACAAUACUGUCAGGCUAGAGGGCACCAGAGGGCUCUGGUAUUCCCGGAGUACCGGUAAAAUGCGCAGAUAUCGGGAGGAACACCGGUGGCGAAAGCGGCACCCUGGGGUGCGCCUGACGCUGAGAGACGACAGCUAGGGGAGCGAACAGGAUUAGAGACCCUGGUAGUCCUAGCCGUAAACGAUGGAUGCUAGGUGUAGGAGUGAAGAGCUUCUGUGCCGCAGCGAACGCGAUAAGCAACCCGCCUGGGGAGUACGGCCGCAAGGUUAAAACUCAAACGAAUUGACGGGGACCCGCACAAGCAGCGGAGCGUGUGGUUUAAUUCGAUGCUACACGAAGAACCUUACCUGGGAUUGACAUAUGGGUGGUAGUGAUCCGAAAGGAGAGCGACCCUUCGGGGAGCCUAUACAGGUGCUGCAUGGCUGUCGUCAGCUCGUGCCGUGAGGUGUCGGGUUAAGUCCCGUAACGAGCGCAACCCUUGUCCUUAGUUACAAGUGUCUAAGGGGACUGCCGGCGGGAAGCCGGAGGAAGGUGGGGAUGACGUCAAGUCAGCAUGGCCCUUAUAUCCAGGGCGACACACACGCUACAAUGGUCGGUACAGAGGGCAGCGAAGCCGCGAGGUGGAGCGAAACCCAGAAAGCCGGUCGUAGUUCGGAUUGCAGGCUGCAACUCGCCUGCAUGAAGUUGGAGUUGCUAGUAACCGCAGGUCAGCCAUACUGCGGUGAUACGUUCCCGGGUCUUGUACACACCGCCCGUCACGUCAUGGGAGUCUGUAACGCCUGAAAGCGGUAGCCUGACCGCAAGGGAGGCGCUGUCGAGGGCGGGGCUGGCAACUGGGACGAAGUCG
rnacentral:rRNA from 1 species